CUCCCUCAAUGACAGGUGGUAGUCCAAGUUGUUCUUCACUCCUGACCAUCCCACUUCACGGUUUCAUUAAUAGCUUCCAUAUUUUACCAGAUUAUCAUCACUCUUCAUAGUCUCACUCUACUUUGCAGUUAGUACAACCGAGAGCACGCCAGAGUUGGAGCCCAAAAAUCACCGGAAACCGGCGAUCUCUACGCAGCAAUAUUCCGGUGGCUUUUGCAGGGUAAUGUGGAUGGAGCAGUGAAUGCUACGUACCAUUUGCAUGGAGAAUCAUCUCUGUGGGGGUUGACAGAAGCUUAGAAGGACAGCAUUUUGAAACCUGCUUUAUGUUUCUUCAAGCAGGGAAGUAUUGAACUACAUGCAACAGCAAGACAGUCACAGUUGUUAGUUCUUAGUAGUGCUGUCAGUGCAGUGAGGCCACAAGUACUUGCAACUACAGAAAGAUGACCCCAGGUCUCAGCAUAGAGCUAACAGAUCUGAGCCACUCAAUCCAGGUCUUGACCAUAAUCCAAGCCAUACAAACUCCCCAUUGGCGAGGGACAUUUGGCCAGAAGAUAGUAUUGCUUCCGUUAUCACUUUUCUUAUCCAAGAAGAGCCUGAAAUCAUGUCUAGUGAAGUAAACAGUGGUUGUGGUGACAUACCCAGGAACGAGGACCAGGGCAACACAGGUGACGGGGGACCAAUCAUGAGACAAGAGCUCAAGAGAAUGUCACUCCACCCUGUGAAACAGAUAACCAACAGACUUCACAAACAGAAACUGGACAGUCUUCAGGUACAAAGCGGAAGCUCUCAGAUAGACUUGAUACUAGUAAUCUAGCUAAUGCUGAUCUUGGGCUAGAUCGAAAUGGUAAUAUAGCAGAAGACUGUGUUGAUGAUGAUCUAAUCGAAGUUUAUAACUUUUUUAAAGAGUAUGGUAAUUUUUCAAAUGAAGCAAUCAAUGUUGGUGAAAUUCCUAGAGGUAGGUGGUUAUUAAUACCAGCCAACUUUGCCUAUACAGCUGUAGACCCAAGAACGUAGGCAAAGGAGUGGGUACAACAGACACUACUACUCUUAAUAUGGCUCAUGAAAGAAGCAAAUGGGCAAUAAAUAAUCCUGAUGCAGUUAAGUAUGCUCUUCUCAGGAUGGAGGCCUUUAAGCUAGGGUGAUUUCAGAGCAACUCUUUACAGAUGACUUCCAAGAAAUCAAUAACCACAUUAGAGAUGCCAACCGUGCAGCUGACAUUCUGCCCUUCAUCAUGGAACCCAACUAUAGAACUUGUGGAUCUACUUAUCAAUCAGGACAGGCCUCAGAGUAUGAAAUACAAGCCAGCAGCAUACUAAGGGUUUGCCAUCUAGAACAGAUAGCAGGAUACAUGUCCAAGAACCUGAUGUAUGGCGAUUGUCUUCACUAGAUAACACCAAAGCGUGUUCAUGAUGUCAUUGUAGCACAAAGAGAUUCACUACCUAAAGCUCUCAAACUUGGGAGCUAUUAUGCACCAUCUGGUUGUGCCUUAAUCUCAACACCAGAUGUAGUCAUCACCAGCCUAAAAGCCAGAGGAUGGUGGGAAGAACUUGCUCAGUAUGGAGGGUAUCAAGAUACUGAGAUCAGAACGGUUUGUGAUGUGAUAUAAAGCAAAACCCAUGGAAGUUCCAACUUAUGCCUGGAGUAUUUGGGGAGACACCACCAAGGGAUGAUGAGAGAGCACGGCUGGAGACUGCUCGUGCGGACGCGAAACAGUGUGCAGCUGCCCUACAAGCCUACAUUGAUGCAUGCAUGAUUAACACACCAUUAGCAUAUGAUCAAGUGCUCAAGCAGUUCGCUCAGGAAAACAAGGUACUUUAUUCUAGAUUUUAUACUCUCUUUGGCCAAAUGAUGCAUCAUGGAUUUAGCAAAAAAGAGAAAAAAAGAAGGGAAAAGAUCCAUCAUCUACCUGAUCCUUGGGCUAGCUCCAAAUGAAAAUUAAAGUGGGUGGCAUUAGGUCUUUGCACUGUCUAAUUAGGCGUUUAUAUUUAACUGGUGUUUGUGAAUAUUGUUUUCUCAUUUUUUGUUUGGAUUUUUGUUAAUCUGGCGUAUGUGUCAGCUCCAUCUCACAUUAUGGUUUGCUUGAAGGCUUAUGUGUUGCUUGAAGUUCGGUUUAGGAGAUAGUGCUACAAGGGUUUUCUUGUUUUGUAAUAGUUUGAUUGGUUUUUAUGGUAGGGGAGGGGUUUGGCCUGGGGUUGCUUUGUAUUUCAGUGUUUAUUCAGUUUUCUUG